CGGGCGGCAGCAGCAGUGAGGAAUAUUGCACAAUGGGGGGAACCCUGAUGCAGCAACGCCGCAUGGAGGAUGACGCAUUUCGGUGUGUAAACUCCUUUUAUAUGUCAAGAAAAUGACGGUAGCAUAUGAAUAAGCACCGGCUAACUCCGUGCCAGCAGCCGCGGUAAUACGGAGGGUGCAAGCGUUACUCGGAAUCGCUGGGCGUAAAGGACGCGUAGGCGGGUUGGAAAGUCAGGUGUGAAAUCCUACAGCUUAACUGUAGAACUGCACUUGAAACUUCUAAUCUAGAGUAUGGGAGGGGGAGAUGGAAUUAGUGGUGUAGGGGUAAAAUCCGUAGAUAUCACUAGGAAUACCUAAAGCGAAGGCGAUCUCCUGGAACAUUACUGACGCUAAGGCGUGAAAGCGUGGGGAGCAAACAGGAUUAGAUACCCGUGUAGUC
rnacentral:rRNA from 1 species